rnacentral:sRNA from 1 species
CAAUUUCCUCUUCUCAAAAUUCAAACCUCCACUCCAACAACAAUGGUCACUCAUGCAAUUUUAGGGAUUUAGUCUUGUUUUCUUUGCUAAUUUCAAUUUCUCUCCCAAUCAGAAAUUUCUCAAUCUCUCUCUUUCUCUCAAAUUUGCGGAAAAGGGGUUCCACAGCCUUUUGAGAAGAGAUCUUCAAUGUCUAUGCAAGAGGAACAAAAACCCAGCCUAUACGACCAACGUUGCUAUGGCAGAUGUUCUCAAAUCUCUUGAAAGUUGUCUGGAAGAUUAACUCGGACGAAAGCCUUACCUUGAGAUUUAGCUUCAGAGUCCUUGACAAAAGUUAUAGGAAAUUCAAUUAGCUUUCCAACGACGGUAAUUUCAGGGCAAUCAGAGCAGUACUUCAAGAUUUAUGACCGAUUUAGUGCACACAUAUCAAUAUGACGCGUCUAAAAAGUUUAUCCGGAAACUUCAAGAUUUCAGACAAGAAGUUGUAGCGACUUAGUGCAGCGGGAUCAGUACAUCAAUAGACUUUUUCAUGAUAAAAUUAUGGGCAGCAUUACUGAUCGAAGAUUUUAAUAACUGGAAUGUGAAAACUGAUGUAAUGGCUCGGGUAUGCUCUUACACUCUAAUGUGAUCUAUUUUUAAAUUUUCUGUUUUAUGCUAAGUAGAAAUUUCAGAACUUUGUGUAAUGAUCUAUCGUGAUGAAGUAUAAUUUGGUGUUAAAAGACUAUAGGCAUCAUGUUUGUUUUGUAUGAAAUGUGUAAUAGGCAAUCUUUUGGGUUGUGAUGUAAUUUUUUUUUGUAAGAAGAG